CAGAAUAUAGCUAAACCAAUAGCAUUUCCCUUACACUGAAAAGUUACCCGCGCAAAUCAGGUUGUUCUGA
rnacentral:tRNA from 1 species